rnacentral:sRNA from 1 species
AUUGCCGUCUAUAUCGUAGAUGUAGAUUUUGGUAACAAAACUGAACUUGUUCUUAAUUUUAUUAAAUUUUAUGCGAAAACAAAUAGUAGGUCGGGCUAAAAAUUAUUUCGAUAUCUCGAAAACACAGAAAAACGAACUGUGCUCCAGAGUUCGAAUAACGACAUACCCCUCUCAUUUCGUAUUGUGAUUAUUGAGUGCCCUUAUAAUAUCAUAUUGGGCUAUGACACACAAUCGUUAUGCGAGACAGCCAAUUCAACCCGAUUCGAUUAUAUUUGAUGCAUUCCUCCCUAGCACGAAUCAAGUGCAGAUGUUCUCGAUAGAGCGGGGUGUUCACCCCCGAAAGCUCAAUUAAACAGGAGAUGCGAACCCGUACAAGCUCAAGUUACCCUUGAAAGAGACAGUUUAAUACAGUAGCCGCCUCCUCCUACAAAGCUUAAACAACGACGCGGCAGCUGUCCAAACACAUUUUAUACACCUUGGAGGCGUGAGGAAUUGUGGGCACCGAAAAGGGCAGGAACAGAACGUACUCCUUAAUAAGUCAGUGCUGAAGGUCAGACACCCGUUCCGCACAAAAAGGAAGUUGUUACCCACUCCAAGUACAUACGCGUACAGACAACCGGGCCGGGAAGCCCCCGACGUGUGUGCAGCUGCAGUUCCGAACAGAACUGAUCUGAGCUGAGCAGAGUGCGACAUUUGACAUGAUUUGCAUGCCGAGUGCCACGCCCACUUCAGUCACGUCAAGACCGAAGUCGGGGUAAAGACAGGCCAAGGAAACACAAAAAGUGGAGAACCGAACCCCCAUUCCGCUGGAAAUAUAAAAAACUCCGACACUCGUUGAGUUUUACUGUCACUUUCGUUGUCGUUGAUUUAAUUUAGUUUGCUCGAUUUGAUGAGAAUUUCAACACUAGAGGGGAGUGGCAAAUUAAUAGCGACUUUCCAUCAAUAUGUGUUCUUAUCAAAACUGAGGAGUCGUAAAAAGAUUUAAACAACAACGUGGGCUUAUCAAAUUUCAUAUCGGUCGGUCGUUUGUCCAUUACCCCUGCGUAUGAGUUUUUGAAAACGGAGUCUCGUCCUCAGUGAAUCUUUCUUGUUGUCACGCUUGGCAUUCAUUUCUUUAGCAACCGGUUUCUGGCUACACAAACAAUUCGAUGUGAAAUAAGAUGAAUUGGGAAACCCACCCGCAUUCCAGAGAAUAAGUCGGCAAUUUCGGACAUAUGUAUAGCGGAUAUGACCUAACAUAUACAAAAGCCAUUCCAGGGCCAGCAUCGGCACAAAAAGAACCGCAAUAAUUGCUGCACAUAUGGCAGUGGUAUCCGUGAGUGCAGAUCAGCUUUGAUCACCAUAAAAUAAUGUAAGCCAGAAUCAAGAAAGUGAAGAGGGGAAGUGGCUAAGUCUUUUUCUCAACAAUUCCGAUUGGUGGCUGAGCGGCAAAACACUAAAAUCAACUUUCGACGGUAGGUAAAUUCCCAACGACGGCUGACUAUAAUGCUGUUAUGAUAUAAUGAAUUUGCAUAACAGUAGCGUAUCAUUUGGUUCUUACGCGAGGAUCUCGAAGUGCGGAAUGAGACCUCCUGCGGAGUAGUUGGUCCCAAGAAUGCCCAACACAAUUACCGCAAGAACCUACCUCGGCAUGUAAUAAAAUCCGUGCCGUCUGUGAUUUACUUCGGGAUGAAGGCAGUGUGAGGAGGUCUCAUAAACACUCAUUGAGGGCCAGGGGCCAAGUGGAUGAAGCGCACACACAUUGCAACCUUAUGCUGACUUCCUCCGUUUGUACUUUCCGCUGAUGUGGCACUUAAUGCUAACCCAAUUCCGAUUCACUUUGCGAAAUAAACAAGAGAAAGAAGGAUUUUAUGGCUUGCAUGUAAGAGUGUUUACUGGGGAUUCAUUUCGGGUUACCCGGCACCCAGUCAAGUGAUUCUCAGAAAGCUUAGGCAGACAGAUACUUUGCCUGCCCCGGCACAAGAAUAACAAAUCAAAGGUAGAUGAUAUACAUAGACUUUUCUCUCCGGUUUCCAUUCGAUACUCUCUGUCUCAUUUUCAUGACUGCGAGAUCUUGUUAAACAAAGAAGAAAAUUUUCGCUUUUGUCGUUAGGCCGAAAUAAUUCGUUGCUAUAAAAUGGUAAUUAAAGCAGCAAGCGGAGAUAAUGUUUGGUCUGCGAUUUAACCAAGCUAACGAGGCACAACGUUUACAGAUAAAUAACAAAGCUUUUAAAGAAAAAAGAGCAAAGAGCACCUAUUAUAAUUGUUUUAUUUAUCCAACUUAUAAGAAAAUAGUUAAGAUUCCAGGAUUUGAUGCUACACCUUGCGUAUUGAUUCAUCGAUUUUGAUGAUCAACGACCAUUUUCAAUAUUUAGCAUUGGUAUCGAACGCACAGUUGAUUUGGGAAUCAAAUUGAAGGUACAAUUGAAAGUACAAUAUCAAGGCAUUGACGUCAAAGUAUAUGGCGGAAGUUCUGGAAUAACGUAUGUCGGAGUGAAUGUCCCCCUCUUUUCAACUUAUCAGUCCGGUGAAAAUCGGAUUACUGAGACACACUGGGCCAAUGAUUGUUGCCAGUUUUUGGUUUCGUAAGCUAAUGGCUUAUGUGUCAGUCACAGAAAAAGAACUCUUGUCUUGCAAGGUCGAUAAAGGGGCACCAUCAUCAGGGUGUAAAUAAAUCAAUCAACAGGGCAUCAUGCCAUGCUAUUGCCACCAUUAUCCAUUAGCAUUCUCCUAGUAGAUAUUUUCGUGAAAUUCAUUUCUGAUUUCGGUACUACUUUGCUCUUAAUAAACAAUCCGACAAUCUA